UACGUAGGUGGCAAGCGUUGUCCGGAUUUACUGGGCGUAAAGGGCGUGCAGGCGGUUUGUUAAGUUCAGGGUGAAAGCUCCCGGCUCAACUGGGAGAGGUCCUUGGAUACUGGCAGACUUGAGGAGGGUAGAGGAGAGUGGAAUUCCCGGUGUAGCGGUGAAAUGCGUAGAUAUCGUAAGGAAGACCAGUGGCGAAGGCGGGUCUCUGGACAGUUCCUGACGCUGAGGCACGAAGGUCAGGGGAGCAAACGGG
rnacentral:rRNA from 1 species